AAGUUAGGGGAUCGAAGAUGAUCAGAUACCGUCGUAGUCUUAACCAUAAACUAUGCCGACUAGGGAUCGGGUGUUGUUCUUUUUUUUGACUCACUCGGCACCUUACGAGAAAUCAAAGUCUUUGGGU
rnacentral:ncRNA from 1 species